ACAAGCUCAGCGUCAGGAAACACUUUCUAGCAGCAGAUUCAAACUUGAUAAAUUGAUUGUUUGCCGCUGUCUACAAAUUCAAACUUCUUGUUUGCUUGCCUUCGUCUUCUUCUUGUUCUUCUUCUUAUCUCCUAAUCUGUUUUGGAAAACAGCGAGAAACCACAGUAAAUACAGCCGAAAAUUUCUGUGUUUGCAUCAGAUUGAGAGACAUGGAGAAGAUGGGUCCUUCAAUAGGAUCGAGAUAUUCUGAUUUCACCAAGUCUUUCAAGCUUGCUAUUCGCUCCCUUCUCACUUCCUGCUCCAAAGAGGAGUUUGUCAUAGCAUUUUCAAAUUUCAGCAGUGCAGAGCAGGAAAGUCUACACCGUCUAUUUAUUCAGGUUAUCACUUCUUUGCAUAAAAUGAUAGAGGAUGAGUUUGAGUCAUUAAGCCUUGAAACACAGGUGGGAACAACUCUUUAUACUGUGGACCAACUUGUGGAAGAACAAUAUCUGGACCCUCUAUUUUUGAAUAAGACGAAUGUAAUGGAUGUUGCAUGCAAUCUGUCAAUGGCAAAGAAAAAUGAGAUCCAGUUCUUGAUGGGCAUGUUGGAAAAGGCUGAAGAGCAGAAUAGCCUCAUCCGAGCUCGUCUUGAGCAACUCAAGAAAAGGAGGCAAAAUGUCACUGGUACAACAGAUGUUGAGAAGGUGUGACACUUCUUUCUUUUACCUUGAAUCCUAAAUGCAUAAAGAAGGAAAAAAGAACAAGGGGUGAUGAUACUUUAUCAUUAGGGCCAGAGCCAUAUGGUUAAAUUGAUUGUUUUCUCUUACCUUUUUUCCUUUUCUUAUUUUUCAUAUUUCUUCUAAAAGAGAUGGCUUUGAUUUGACUAAAUAAGAGCAUAAUGUUGAUAAUGGAGAGAAUAUUGUUCUGGUGCCGACGAUAGCGCUGGGAGUUUUACUACCCAAAGAAAAAUGUUUUAACAAAAGCUGUUGUUGAACCCAUAUGUUUGAUGCUUUUUGUUUUUUUUUGUUUUUUUAACUGGCUAGAAGCUCAAAUGAUGUGCAUCUAACUUUCAGAAGUGGAAUUAUGCAGUUGAGAAAUGGAAUUUUGAAUUAUUAGACAUCCGUUGAUGGGCCAUAAGGAAUGCAAUUAGUGGAUUAAAUGUAUUGUGUUAUGGUAAAACUUUGUGAGCAGAAGUAUAUGUCAAACUUCGCAAGCAAAUGUGUAUUUUAGAUAAAUCAGAAUUUCAUUAUGGGGCUACUUAUACACAAUUAUCUAAGCAUGUUUAUAAUCUGUUGUACAUCAGGAUUGAGUUCCUUUUCCAAAUUGAACCCCUGAACUUCCCGAACGAGCUUGAAUCUAUGCCCAUUGUUAGGGCCUCUUAAGCAACUAAAUCAUUAUGAGUAUCUAUUUUCCU
rnacentral:misc_RNA from 1 species